rnacentral:lncRNA from 1 species
CGCUCUGAGGAGAGGGAGGAGCGCGGCGCAUGCGUUGCAGCACAGCGCAGCGCUCCUGGAGAGGCUGUGGGUUCGUGGCAUCCGCGCCGCGGCCGCAAGUAUAGCAGGUUUCGUACCUGGUGUUCAUCGCCGUUAAGUCAUCGCUGCUGCCACCCAGGCACGGCUCUCUAUGCCGCCGCUCCCUCCACCCUCUAGGCACUGCCUGCCGUAAGAAUUUUAACUGCGACACUCGCUUCAGCAGGAGAUUUUAUUGGCUGCAGACACACGCAGCAUCUUCUUGCGCUCCUCCUUGAGGUGGAUGGGCAGCUAGCUGGAGAUGACACAGGAUGAUGCGCAUCUUUCGCACGCUGGCUCCAAGAUCUCCGCUGCCAGAUGCAGCAACAAAGCUUCUUUGUACAGACAGCCCUGGACACACUUCCAGCAGCAAUUCUUCUUGCAGGAACUGGUGCAAGAACAGGAUUUAUUCGUGGCACAGGAGCAGUUGGUGUCCACUGGGAGUGGAGGCAGAAGAGAGACCAGAGCGGGUAUGUUAGGAGAGAAAGCAGUGACUUCAACAGAAGUGGAGUAAAUAAAGAUGAUCACAGAACUUGGAAGCUGACGAAAUUAAUUUUGGAAAAGAGCUGGCUUGGAGCAUGACAGAAGAAUUCGAUGGAAAGAGUGCUGGGAGCCCAACUCAAGACUGAUGUGUGCUUGGCAGGCAGUCUACCCCCGAUCUCAGUCCUCCAGCCUUUCGGCCUUUUUUCCUUUUUGGAGACAGAAUUGCAUCAUAUGGCAUCCUACACAGUCCUGCCUCAGUCUCUGCAGUGCUGGGAUUGUAGGCCUAUGCCACCUAGCCUUUCUACAAUACAAACAAAUAUGAAAAGAAGAGGGACUUCUUUGGAAAGGAGUACAGGGACUAUGGAAGAGAUGAAAAGAUAAUAUUGUCAGAAAUUAUGCCGCUUUUGAAGAGAUAAACUGAACUCUUGAUUCUGUGAGGUUAUUAAAGAAUAUUAAUUUUCAAAUCACGGUAAAAUCUUGAUUCAGCAACACAUGAGGAUAAUCAUUGUGUCCAUGGAAACCUUGGGAAGCAGUUGAAAGCCUGGUCCCUCUUGCCUGGAGCAUUAACACAACGUGGCUGCAAAGUUAGUCCUUUCCCGCUACCAUCUCCUGAAUACUGGGACUAACUACACGUAUGCACGAACCUGCCCAUCUUUGCCUCUGUUAACAGCUGCCACUGUCUCUUCACGACAUGAUGGCUGACCUAGGUUGGAAGGAACAGAGCCAGUUGGCCAUGGACUGAAACUUUUGGAACUGAUUCUGAGGAGUUAAUGUUUCCAUGAAUAUCUCAGAAGGAGAUGUGGACAAACGAACAGUUAUCUCACUCCUGUAGCUAUCUUUCUUAUCCAGCCCAGGCCCUCCCACCGAGAAGUGGCACUAACCACCACAGGUCAAUAUAAUGGAGACAGUUCUUCAAUUGAUGUUCCCCCUUCCCAGGGGUUUCAUUUGCAAAUGCCUGCAGGAUCCAGAUGGGGGACAUGUGUGAGAUGGCUCCUGACAGGGUUUCUCUGUGUCCUGGAACUCACUCCCAAAAAAGGGAAGGAUAGAAGAAAGAUUAUAAAAUGUACAUAUAUUGAUGGAAAUUUUGUCAUAGCUGUGAGAUUCCUUCCAGUGGUCUAGCAAAGUGUGGCUCAAGGUAAGCCCACCUUCCUGAGUGAUUGUCCCUUGGCCAAGCACAUGACUCAGCCCAACUGGAUUAAUUUGUAAGGGAGGAGACAAUGGCAUGCCUGCACCCAGAGGACAACUUGAGCAGAAUCUAAGAGAUUCCUUUAAUUACAAGGUGCAAAUGUCUGCUUGGCAUUAGAUUUGCUGUCUCUUUGGAAGGUGUGCCGCAUCUUUAGAAAAUCUGUAUCCUUUAUGCCUGCUGCUACCCCCAGAAUCUUAAGACAAGGGUUGGACUACAGUGAUCACUGAGUAGGAGCUUCGUCUUUAAAAUCUGGGGUGUGCUGUUAUGCAAUCUUCUUUCCCUGCCCAGUACUGGAUCUGUGAAAAGCUGAAUCAUGAAUCAGUGAGUGUGCGGAUUGGAACCCAAGUUGCUCUCUGGAUAGAACGAAAGGAGUCGUGCCCCAAGAAGAUGGAGAGGGAAGUUAUGAAAUGCUGUGACCAAAUAACAAAUGCUGAUGUUUGGGGAGAUAACUGUUUCCCAUAGGAAAUAGAGUGAAUGCGAUGUCUUUCUUUUGUGAGGGAUUCAUAGACCGCUUCUCAACGCUUGUUACAUGUUACUCCUUUUUUCGAGAUUUUUAUUUACCUAACUGGGAAAGAAACCAGAACAAGGUUUUCAUUGAAUUCUGAUACAGGUAUUUAAAGACUUACGGACAAGAUAUAGAAGAAGAAGUGGUAAUUAACUGAUUAAAGAAGUACAGUUUAUAUCCAGUAGACAGACAGGCUCCAGACAUCCUUAGUGCUGUCUUAGCAUCAAAGGUUAAUCUACCUAAUACUUGUCAUCCUGAAAUGCAUGGUGGAACAUCCAACAGACAAGAGCUACUUCAGGGAAGGACUAUGAUUUUUGUCGUGGAAGACAUUUAACACAGGGCAGCUCCUGUGCACUUACAUGAUAGAUAUUGCUCUUCCGGGGACUCUGAAUGCUCAUCCCACUUUCAGCUCACUAGGCACAUCGAACUAGAAAUUUUAUCAUCUCGUGAAUUAGUCCAAUACCUGAAGGAGCAAGAGAACCAACACCCAGUUGACAAGAAUAUGACCUGUUGAUUGAAGACCAUUAAGAAAGUAACUUGAUUCAGUUGGACUGGACUUUUUUAUUCUAUUGAAAAAGGAAUUUAUUUCCCCUCAGUGAACGUAACAUGAUCAACAUUUUGAAAGUUGUGAACAUGCAUAGUUCUAUAAUUUACAAAAUAAUUAUAAAAAUCUGAGUAUGGAUGCAGCAUAAUUUCAGAACAGAAUAGCCAUCAUACUUUUUAUAUAUCUUAAAUUCGAGUUUUCAAGAGUAUAUUUCUAUGUUAUAUCCUUUGAUUAGUACAAUAUAAAAUCUACAUCUAAUAUGUACUUCAGGUUUUAUUAGAUCAUGCCAUAUUACUGUACAAUUUGGACUUUUCCAUUUUUAUAUAAAAUGUAACAUGCAUUGUACAUUAAUAUUUAUAUAUCUUGUUUAUUUAUAUAUCUUUAGAAUUAAUUUCUGCCAAUUAUUUUCUUUAUUUGAAUACUUGGGGUAUCAUAAAGGUGCUGUUGAGGUAUUCUCAAUAUGCUUGUACAACUUCCUGCCUGUAGUUAAUAAAUGUGGAUAUUUCAUUAAACAAUUGAAAUAUAACA